rnacentral:lncRNA from 1 species
CUAUGCAAUAUUAUAUCAGGAGUACAAGGAGAAACCUAGAUAGAAGACUCAGAGCAUAAAGUGGACAUAAAAGCUGGAAGAAUGACCAUGGCUCUAGCGGCUAAAGCUUAUAAGCACGAUAUAAUAAUUGACUGGAAUGAGGCUAUUAUAAUAAAACCUGUACAUGACGUUAGGGGCCUGACUACUAUAGAGGCAAUUCAGUUAGAAAGGAUGGUAUAUUGCCAUGAUGCCAUCAAUGACAGUAUCCCUAUAAUGCUACCUGCAUCCUGGAGAUGGUAUACCACUAGAGCGGUAUGACUAUUUUUGGUAUAUGGCCCCCUUGGACUCCAUGAGGGUGCGAUUGCUGUGGGGCUGUAUUUGGAUUGGCCGGCAUUGAUUGGGACAUUGAUGCUGUGGUGUUCGUGUUUUGGGGCUGUGUCUGGGGACUCUGGUAGUGCCGUGGCUGUGGAGGUUUUCAUGGAC